AUUGAACGCUGGCGGAAUGCUUUACACAUGCAAGUCGAGCGGCAGCACGGGGGCAACCCUGGUGGCGAGCGGCGAACGGGUGAGUAAUACAUCGGAACAUGCCCAGUCGUGGGGGAUAACACUUCGAAAGAAGUGCUAAUACCGCAUACGUCCUGAGGGGGAAAGCGGGGGAUCGCAAGACCUCGCGCGAUUGGAGUGGCCGAUGUCAGAUUAGCUAGUUGGUGGGGUAAAGGCCUACCAAGGCAACGAUCUGUAGCUGGUCUGAGAGGAUGAUCAGCCACAGUGAGGCUGAGACGCGGCACAGGCUCCUAGGGGAGGCAGCGGUGGGGAAUUUUGGAAGAUGGGGCAACCCUGAUCCAGCCAUUCCGCGUGAGUGAAGAAGGCCUUCGGGUUGUAAAGCUCUUUCGGCAGGAACGAAACGGUGAGCUCUAACAUAGCUUGCUAAUGACGGUACCUGAAGAAGAAGCACCGGCUAACUACGUG
rnacentral:rRNA from 1 species